UCAGCCGCGUAAAACAUUGUUUGGAGGUUCUCUGCUAUGAAUUUGUCUUGUGGUUUGAGGAAUCUGAAGAGGUCCUCGUCGAAUGGAGGCUGGCAGUGUCCCAGUUGCCAAGAAGGGAAAGAAGGAAGACCCUGGUAGUUACAGGCCUGUCAGUCUCACUUCAGCACCUGCACAGACAGAUCCUCUGAGUUGUCCUAAUGAAAGGUUCAUUGUCUUAUGGAGCUGAUUGUAGAUCUUACAGUCGCAACUCCACUUUCAUCUUUUUGUCCAAUGUGAAAUGACUCAGCAGAGGAGUUUUGAAGGGUUUCGAGAGCUGCCUGAUGGUACCGAGGCAGUGACACGAGGACAAAUGUGCGUUUGGCGUGGGAUGACGCGUUUGGUCCAGGGUGAUGCGUUUGGCAGGGGCAGAUGUUUGGCA